UUUUGCUUAGAGUUUGAUCCUAGCUCAGGGUGAAUGCUGGCGGUAUGGAUAAGGCAUGCAA
rnacentral:rRNA from 1 species